GAUCCAUGGCUCAGGAUGAACGCUAGCGACAGGCCUAACACAUGCAAGUCGAGGGGCAGCGGAGAGGUAGCAAUACCUUUGCCGGCGACCGGCGCACGGGUGAGUAACACGUAUGCAAUCCACCUGUAACAGGGGGAUAACCCGGAGAAAUCCGGACUAAUACCCCAUAAUAUGGGCGCUCCGCAUGGAGAGCCCAUUAAAGAGAGCAAUUUUGGUUACAGACGAGCAUGCGCUCCA
rnacentral:rRNA from 1 species